UGCUAAUCUGUGAAGGUGAGCGGCUCGGUUCUGUUUGGGUCGGCUCGGUUCUGUUUGGGUCGGCUCGGUUCUGUUUGGGUCGGCUCGGCUCUGUUUGGGUCGGCUCGGCUCUGUUUGGGUCGGUUCUGUCACCACAGGGAAACCCGCUGCUGCACAAAGACAAAGAGGAGUACAUCCCUGAGCCCGGCAUCGUCGCUUACGUAUCGCGUCCUCCUCCUGCUGCUGCCAAGAGCAAGUAACCCAGACCGAGACAGUCGGCAUGAAGCCUCAGAGCUGGCUCAGGAGGAAAUGGCUGUGGGCGGCCGGCGGCGCGUUCGUCACCAUCCACCUGGCCACGUGGCUGAUGCAGACGGCCAUGAAGAGCGCCGUGCGCUCCGAGUCUGCGCUCAAACAGAAGACGGCAGAGGACAGACUGGACUGAAGUUUAUUCACUGAUCGCUGAACAGAUGGAAACAAUGGGAUCACAUGUUUGAACGUUUAACCCUGAUUAAGGUGUGAUUGUGUAAAUCGAUUAGUAAAAUAUAAUAAACAGAUGUUGACUGACAGUGCUGUGAUUUCUAAAAACAGAUUCAGUGAUGAUCUGAGUCUGAACGUGAAUAUUAAACAUCACUCGAACUUUUUAACAUUCAGAGCAAAUGAACCUGACGCCUCUCUGUCUGCUCCUAUUGGCUGAAACGAUGAUGAUGUAAUGAUUGUGUGAACACAAAGUGGUUCAUUCAAACUGGCUUUAACCUUGUGGAAGGUGCCAACACUCAGCUGAAUACUCAGAAAUCCUCUCGAGAAAUUCGGCAUAACUCUGUUUGCUACAGAUCGGGUUACAGGGAAGGAGGCCGGCUCUGCUGAAGACCCAGCUCGAGACUGUGGACCAACUUUAAGACAAAACUCGCCCAGUUCAGAGUCCGCAUCACAUGACGGACCUGAGAGUCAGACAGAACCUCCUCAGACGAGACACGAACAUGAACUAAUGUGUUCACUCCUUAAUUUAAAUGUUGUUUUUAUGUGUAUUUUAUUAAAGACAGUUUCCAGAUAAA